UCGAAAUGGGCUGGGGUGAGUAUCCGGCAGAGUACAAUGCAAAGGUGCACGGACCAUACGAUCCGGCCCGGUGGUAUGGAAAGCGUAAGUUAUUUAUUCA
rfam:Folsomia candida strain VT population Fcan01_Sc004, whole genome shotgun sequence.